GGGGAAUCUUCCUGUGUUGCCCCCUCUGAGGGUGUGGGCCCCGAGGCAGAGCGAGACUGCCUUGGGAGGGCUUCUCCCCUGCCCUGCCUGCAGGGCUGCCGCCCUCCGAGCUCAGGUGAGCUCCUGUGAGCACUGUCACCAUCUCCGUCUGUGAAGUGGGAAUCUGGGCUGACGUGAGGCUCAGUAUUGGGCCCACCUGGCAAAUCCAUUAUCCUGACAGUGGGGUGGGGACAAGGAGAGGCUGCACUGGCCAGGACAGCCCAGCCCAGUAUGGGCAACCUGCUAAAGCUCUCUGGCAUGUGGCCUGGCUCCCUGGCUGACCCGCCUUGCUGUAGAGCCCCCAUUAGGGUCUGUGAGGUAAGUCUGGAGCAGUCCAGGACGGAGGCCCAGAGCUAGACCCUCAAGGCCCUGGCCCUCUGCUGGCCAUCUGAGCCCUUGAGGGAGCUCUGGUCCCUGAGGAAGUGGUGCUGUGUGCUCGGGCUCCUUUUUCAGGUGGCACCCCCUUGCUGGGGGGUCAGGUCACAAGUCCCACAGCUGUGUGCUGCUCUGAGGACCCAUGAUUUGAGGGAGGUGGUACUGAGAGGGGUCCCUGCUCUGCAUAUGUGACAGUUGGCAAGGUCACAGCCUCCCUCACAGGGAAGUGUGGAGUCAAGGCCACCCCAGGUAAGGUGUUGCAGGCAGGGUCUGGGUGCCCUGGAGGGCCAGCUCAGGAGGCCCGUUCCUCACGGGCCUUCUCAGGUGGGAGGUAGGUGCCCGCCCUGGCUGUGGAGGAGGCUGACCAGGCCUGGGGUCGGGUGUGGAGGGGCUGCCUGGGACCUCCCUCUGUGGCGAGGCCCUGGUGGAGCCUCUCCUUGGCACCUGGAUGUGUCCCCCAGGGUCUUCUUCUGGGUCUUAUGAGCUGGCGGUGCAGCUGGGGUCUCUGCAGGAGCAGUGACAGCCCUCCCUGCCCGCCGCCGCCUCGGACUACAGCACCCGCGACAGGACAGCUUGCCACGUGCCAUCUCUGCCUCGUCUCACUCCUUGGGCUCUUCCAUCUGGCUUCCCAGUGGCACCCACUCCCCACGGUCUUCCCAAGUCCCGCCCUGGCAUCUGCUGCCUCUGUGUCCCCUGUCUCCUGGCGCAAGGCCAGUGGAAGCUUCAGUGGGCUGGACGGACGGGCUGCCCAGACUCACACCCACAGAAAAGCCCUGCCCUGCUCUGCAGACCCUUUGGGGUGUGUGUGUGUGUGUGUGUGGUGUGCACCACAGGGGAGACCUGUGCUUUGACUCGGGGGCCCAGAGCCUCUGGCCCUCUACAUGUCAUUCCCUGGCUGUGACUGUGACCUGUUCGAGCCUGAAGAGCUGGGCUGCUGUGGGGACCCUGAGGCUCUGCUGCCUUCCUGGCCCUGGCAGCCUGGUGGCCUCGGGGUGCAGCUGUGCCGCCGGCGGCCGUGGGGCUGCGGAAGGCAGGGCAGUUGGUGGCAGGGUGCCAUGCCAACACCCGGGCCUGUGUUGCUGUUGCUGGGCACUGUGGCCUCAGGCCCUGGGGCCCCCAGGGUGACGGGCAUGGUGCCCUUCUCCUCUCGCUGUGCAGCACUGCCCGGCCCUGCUGGGCUUUGCUUUCCAGGGCCGAGGCGGUGAGAAGUAAACAGUGUUGCUAAUUAGAGCAGAGCUGCCAGCUUCCAGAAGGGGGGCCUCCCGCCCCCGCCCACCUUCCGCGGCCCAGAUUGCAGCAGAGUCAGGCAUAUGCUGCAGUUGGAGCCUGUGUGCUUUUCGCAGUUGCGGGGGGCUGGGGGCCUCUGCGGCGCUGCUGCCUGCUGAGCCCCGCCCUGUCUAUACCUGUGCAGCCCAGUCUUGGAACUGGGUGGUGGCUGUGGGCCGGCACAGGGGUGGGAGGCUGGACAGGGACAGGGUGCCUGGGCUCCCUCCCUGGCUCCUUCCUCCACUCUGCAGGCCCAGCCGAGAACUUGGUGUUCCAUGUGUCUUCUGGACUCCCGAGGGCGCCUCCACGGGGACGAGGUUCCGCUCGCUUCGCAGAGGAGUGGGCCAGGGCCCGGAGGGCUGCACAGCUUGCGUGACAUCCUGAGGGUGCCUGGUGUCUCAGCCCCUGGGCCCUCCCUGCCUAGGCUGGGCAGGGGUACCCGGGGAUGCCCUGUUGGCUUCUCCUCCCAGCCCACCCUGCCAAGAAGCCAGCCCUCAGACAGGGCUCCGCAUGGCCCUGGGACCCCCAGGAUCAGCGGAUUUUCCUGGCCCUGGGGGUGUGGGAGGUCGUGGGAAUGACUUGGCAUGCCAUCUUCCUGACCCCCCCAGGCCCCUGGACCUGGGACUCAAGCUGAGCCCCAAGUCCCUCCCCUAUAGUAAAGGUAAUAAGUGGACGUCCCUCAAGGGACUGUCACAGGGUAGCACAAGUGCCCAGCCAUGCAGUGAAUGUUGCUGAUAAAGGGGUGUGUUUACAUGCUGACAUGGGUCACGACCCCACAGGAGAGGUGGACAGGGAUCUGGCAGGCACCCCCAAGGACAGGAGUGGGCAGGCC
rnacentral:lncRNA from 1 species